rnacentral:sRNA from 1 species
GCGACCAUGGCCUUGCUGGGCAAGCGCUGUGACGUCCCCACCAACGGCUGCGGACCCGACCGCUGGAACUCCGCCUUCACCCGCAAAGACGAGAUCAUCACCAGCCUCGUGUCUGCCUUAGACUCCAUGUGCUCAGCGCUGUCCAAACUGAACGCCGAGGUGGCCUGUGUCGCCGUGCACGAUGAGAGCGCCUUUGUGGUAGGCACGGAGAAGGGGAGAAUGUUCCUGAAUGCCCGGAAGGAGCUACAGUCAGACUUCCUCAGGUUCUGCCGAGGGCCCCCGUGGAAGGAUCCAGAGGCAGAGCACCCCAAGAAGGUGCAGCGGGGCGAGGGCGGAGGCCGUAGCCUCCCUCGGUCCUCCCUGGAACAUGGCUCAGAUGUGUACCUUCUGCGGAAGAUGGUAGAGGAGGUGUUUGAUGUUCUUUAUAGCGAGGCCCUGGGAAGGGCCAGUGUGGUGCCACUGCCCUACGAGAGGCUGCUCAGGGAGCCAGGGCUGCUGGCCGUGCAGGGGCUGCCCGAGGGCCUGGCCUUCCGAAGGCCGGCCGAGUACGACCCCAAGGCCCUCAUGGCCAUCCUGGAACACAGCCACCGCAUCCGCUUCAAGCUCAAGAGGCCACUUGAGGAUGGCGGGCAGGACUCGAAGGCCCUGGUGGAGCUGAAUGGUGUCUCCCUGAUACCCAAGGGGUCACGGGACUGUGGCCUGCAUGGCCAGGCCCCCAAGGUGCCACCCCAGGACCUGCCCCCCACCGCCACCUCCUCCUCCAUGGCCAGCUUCCUGUACAGCACGGUGCUCCCGAACCACACCAUCCGAGAGCUCAAGCAGGAAGCACCUUCCUGCCCCCUUGCCCCCAGCGACCUGGGCCUGAGCCGGCCCAUGCCAGAGCCCAAGGCCACCGGUGCCCAAGACUUCUCCGACUGUUGUGGACAGAAGCCCACCGGGCCUGGUGGGCCUCUCAUCCAGAACGUCCAUGCCUCCAAGCGCAUUCUCUUCUCCAUCGUCCAUGACAAGUCAGAGAAGUGGGACGCCUUCAUAAAGGAAACCGAGGACAUCAACACGCUCCGGGAGUGUGUGCAGAUCCUGUUUAACAGCAGAUAUGCGGAAGCCCUGGGCCUGGACCACAUGGUCCCUGUGCCCUACCGGAAGAUUGCCUGUGACCCGGAGGCUGUGGAGAUCGUGGGCAUCCCGGACAAGAUCCCCUUCAAGCGCCCCUGCACUUACGGAGUCCCCAAGCUGAAGCGGAUCCUGGAGGAACGCCAUAGCAUCCACUUCAUCAUUAAGAGGAUGUUUGAUGAGCGAAUUUUCACAGGGAACAAGUUUACCAAAGACACCACGAAGCUGGAGCCAGCCAGCCCGCCAGAGGACACCUCUGCAGAGGUCUCUAGGGCCACCGUCCUUGACCUUGCUGGGAAUGCUCGGUCAGACAAGGGCAGCAUGUCUGAAGACUGCGGGCCAGGAACCUCCGGGGAGCUGGGCGGGCUGAGGCCGAUCAAAAUUGAGCCAGAGGAUCUGGACAUCAUUCAGGUCACCAUCCCAGACCCCUCGCCAACCUCUGAGGAAAUGACAGACUCGAUGCCUGGGCACCUGCCAUCAGAGGAUUCUGGUUAUGGAAUGGAGAUGCUGACAGACAAAGGCCUGAGUGAGGACCCGCGGCCCGAGGAGAGGCCCGUGGAGGACAGCCACGGUGACGUGAUCCGGCCCCUGCGGAAGCAGGUGGAGCUGCUCUUCAACACACGAUACGCCAAGGCCAUUGGCAUCUCGGAGCCCGUCAAGGUGCCGUACUCCAAGUUUCUGAUGCACCCGGAGGAGCUGUUUGUGGUGGGGCUGCCUGAAGGCAUCUCCCUCCGCAGGCCCAACUGCUUCGGGAUCGCCAAGCUCCGGAAGAUUCUGGAGGCCAGCAACAGCAUCCAGUUUGUCAUCAAGAGGCCCGAGCUGCUCACUGAGGGAGUCAAAGAGCCCAUCGUGGAUAGUCAAGAAAAUUAUGACGCGAGGCUCUCACGGAUCGACAUCGCCAACACACUAAGGGAGCAGGUCCAGGACCUUUUCAAUAAGAAAUACGGGGAAGCCUUGGGCAUCAAGUACCCGGUCCAGGUCCCCUACAAGCGGAUCAAGAGUAACCCCGGCUCCGUGAUCAUCGAGGGGCUGCCCCCAGGAAUCCCGUUCCGAAAGCCCUGCACCUUCGGCUCCCAGAACCUGGAGAGGAUUCUUGCUGUGGCCGACAAGAUCAAGUUCACAGUCACCAGGCCUUUCCAAGGACUCAUCCCAAAGCCUGGUAAG